rnacentral:lncRNA from 1 species
GGGGUGCAAAGGGGACUGACUAGUGCCCAGGCUGUUUGCAGAUCUUGAUGUUGUGCGUGUGGUAUUGGUUUUGCAGGUACACGGAACAGAACAGUUAUGCUAUCAUGCGCCCUUAGACAGGUAACCUGGAGGAGAGCCUGUGAGGCCAGUGUGCAGCAGGGUUGGAUUCCCCUUUCAGGGAGGCCCUGCUCGGGUAGCACAUGAAGCUGUGAGAGUGAAACCUAAGUUUCAGUGGAGAUCUCAGGAGUGGGGAGAUGCCAGGAAUGUGGAAUAUCUGCAGAGGGAAGCUGUAGGCAAUAAAUCGAGGCUGCCAAAACAGAGCACAUGUGGUCUGCAAACGCCAAGCCAUGGGAGUGGGGCUGCUGGAGCUCACGUCACACUACCACGUGUCCUGGAUGCUGGACACAGAUGCACAGGAGGAAGUGCGAGAAACAAACAAGGAAAUAAACGGGAGAAAAGAAGCAGCUGGCGAGACAUGGGCACAAUUUACCAAUCACGCUCUGUAUUUGAGUGAGGAGCUGAGGUUGAGCAGGGACAGGAACCUGCCUGAAUGCCGCUGUGGCCAAAGCCUGGAUCUGAAGCUGUCUGCUCUGCCCUGUGCUCUUUGCUGAAGUCCUGCUCCAGUGAGGAGACCCGUCCCAGACUGUGGAGGGAAGCUGACUUCUCCCCAGGGCCGACUUCUCUUCUUUUGGCUUCAGUUACUACUGUUCUGUAAGACUGAAUUCAAAAGUA